GACGAACCGUGCGACCGUUGUUCGGAUUCACUGGGCUUAAAGGGCGCGUAGGCGGGUCGCUAAGUCCGGGGUGAAAGCCCCCAGCUUAACUGGGGAAGUGCCUCGGAUACUGGCGGCCUCGAGGGGGAUAGGGGCCCGCGGAACUUCGGGUGGAGCGGUGAAAUGCGUUGAUAUCCGAAGGAACGCCGGUGGCGAAAGCGGCGGGCUGGAUCCCUUCUGACGCUGAGGCGCGAAAGCCAGGGGAGCAAACGGG
rnacentral:rRNA from 1 species